CACACAGCCUGUUUUUAUUUAUAGGCUGUUUUCAACUUGUCAAUUUUAAAUUAUUUUCUAACAAGUUUUUUAUUUUCUAAUAACAGAUUGAAUUGAGAUGUGUUCCGCCUCAUUCAUUCACACAAAAGUAGUCAUUUUUACUUUUGCAGAUCAAUUCAUUUUUUGGGACAUUUCUGACCCGGACAAAAUUCCCCAAACACUUCCCAAUUGUUUGUGCAGUUCAAGUCUACAGACAUUUGCUCAUCUCGUCCUGCAUACACGUGUUCACAUUUUCCUUCUGUUGCCUGCAUCGCAAUCAACGUUGUUUUCGUUACCAAUAAUAACUUUGGAAGUGUGUGUGUUUCUAUCAAAGUGGUCCACCUUCCCUGUGGCCGACAUGGUUGCUGUAUGGACAGGGAGAGGACAUGGGCGUCUCAUUUGUCAUGGCACUUUACUGCCAGCUGUUGACAUUUAUUAUUUUGUAUAACGGGUCAUUUAGGAUGGCAGUAGCGUUGUUGAAGAAAUGCAGUCAUAUCAGCAGAACUAGGAAGCAGUCUUGGGAAAAGAGGGUGGCAAAGAAGGGAGUUGCAAACAUAGGAUCUCUGCUCCAGUAUUCUCUUAGGGAGUUAUUCUUUACUAUCCCCAUGAGAAGGACUGUCACCAGGAAGCUGCUCUGUCAGAAACAACUUGAAGCACUGCCUCAGAUGGAAAUGGCAAGGGCCGUUGCACUCCAGACUGGGACUCAUCAACGCAAACAGCAGGGCCAGGAGGGGUGAAAUGGCUGGCAGCCUUCCAGCUACCACAGAACUCUUGUACUUCAUCCACUAUCGGUCUGCCUCCAUCACCACCAGCAUCUUCAAAUGGAACUAGGACUUUGUCAGUGGACAAUGGGUCCUCAGAUUCAAGGUUCUCAAUGGCUGGGUUCUCAGCUCCUCACUGUAACUGUCAGAAUCUGAUUCCUGACUUUCAGACUCAUUGUCAGAAUUUUUUUACAUCUCCAGAAUUUCCCAAUUUUGUGAGUUGUCUCCUUUUGAAAGGCAUUGCUAAUGCUACAGCUUCUCAUUAGCUACAUACAUAAACAA
rnacentral:lncRNA from 1 species